GAUGAACGCUGGCGGCGUGCCUAAUACAUGCAAGUCGAGCGAACGGACGAGAAGCUUGCUUCUCUGAUGUUAGCGGCGGACGGGUGAGUAACACGUGGAUAACCUACCUAUAAGACUGGGAUAACUUCGGGAAACCGGAGCUAAUACCGGAUAAUAUUUUGAACCGCAUGGUUCAAAAGUAAAAGACGGUCUUGCUGUCACUUAUAGAUGGAUCCGCGCUGCAUUAGCUAGUUGGUAAGGUAACGGCUUACCAAGGCAACGAUGCAUAGCCGACCUGAGAGGGUGAUCGGCCACACUGGAACUGAGACACGGUCCAGACUCCUACGGGAGGCAGCAGUAGGGAAUCUUCCGCAAUGGGCGAAAGCCUGACGGAGCAACGCCGCGUGAGUGAUGAAGGUCUUCGGAUCGUAAAACUCUGUCAUUAGGGAAGAACAUAUGUGUAAGUAACUGUGCACAUCUUGACGGUACCUAAUCAGAAAGCCACGGCUAACUACGUG
rnacentral:rRNA from 1 species